GUGCCAGUCUAUGCAGCGGGAACAAGGACAGAGGAAAAAAUAUGGCGGACGAUACGAAAAGUAAGCAGAUAGUCUAAUUUUAUUUAAUUGAAGAAUGGCAUUGAUAAGGGAAUUGUUAAAGAAUUGAAUCUAUAAGCAGAAUCGAUAAUGGCAUCGAUAAAAUCUUAUCAAUUCUCAUUCCUACUAUAGGAUGGAUUUUAACACCUUUAAACAACUUCUGCAAACUAUAGUCUAUUGUAGCAGUGUCAAUUUUUUUCAUGGCUUUAUUUCACUUUACAUCUCCUAUCAGCAUAAAAGGUGUUUUUAUCAAUAAUAAUCAGACUGAAGAGAAAGAUAUUCACACAUGGAGGGCUUUCAUUUCAAGUCAUAACCAGGUACCUGACUUGUUCUACUAAAUGCAAAUUGGCCUUGAAAAGUGCAUGAAUACUUCGUGUACUGUAUGAAUUAUAUUUAAGGUAAUUUGACGUUUACUUUAGGGAUGCACCAAUCCAAUAUUUGGAUCAGAUAUCAGCUCUGAUAUUGACAAAUUAACCGGAUCGGAUAUCGGAUGAAUGAUGCUGAUCCAGUCUUUUUCUCUUUUAAUUAAUUUUUCUUUUAAUACAUGGAGCUCUUACUUUCUUUUUGCUGUGUGCUAAUGUGCAUU